rnacentral:rRNA from 1 species
UGCCAGACUCCUACGGGAGGCAGCAGUGGGGAAUAUUGGGCAAUGGGCGCAAGCCUGACCCAGCAACGCCGCGUGAAGGAAGAAGGCUUUCGGGUUGUAAACUUCUUUUGACAGGGAAGAGUAGAAGACGGUACCUGUCGAAUAAGCCACGGCUAACUACGUGCCAGCAGCCGCGGUAAUACGUAGGUGGCAAGCGUUGUCCGGAUUUACUGGGUGCAAAGGGCGUGUAGCCGGGUUGACAAGUCAGAUGUGAAAUCCUGCGGCUUAACCGCAGAACUGCAUUUGAAACUGUUGAUCUUAAGUACUGGAGAGGCAGACGGAAUUCCUAGUGUAGCGGUGAAAUGCGUAGAUAUUAGGAGGAACACCAGUGGCGAAGGCGGCCUGCUGGACGACAACUGACGGUGAGGCGCGAAAGCGUGGGGAGCAAACAGGAUUAGAUACCCGCGCAAG